rnacentral:lncRNA from 1 species
UUUUCGUUCAUUGUACUGCCUAUUAUUUUCCUUGAUAAAUAUCUUAUGGUGUUAUUGUCUAAGAAAAAUAUACCAGAAAAAGGAAAAACUUGCUCUGAGGCUGUUAUUGUCUUACCAUAGUAGGUGGUUAAACAUUAAGAAGAACAUCACCACACCACACACACAAGAGAAUUUACACAUGGAGCGUACACAAAGCACACACAUACACCCAUCACUCGCUAGCAUGCAGCGAGUAGACCGAGGCAAGAAAAGAAAGUUACAAGCACUAGUAGAUAAGUAGUACGAAGCUCAAGACAAACUACAUGCAGCCUCAGACAGCAACGUACGCUAUGCAGGAUUAGAUAACCAAAAGAGCAGCAAACAUGGCGGCGUCGCAGAACUUCCUGUCUUCAAUUCUCUGGCCGUCGGCUCUUAUUUAGCGGUGGUUGCUCCUGGUCCUGGUCUCGUCGCUGUAAAGCCUGAACAUCAAACGUACGUGGCAGCGUUAUUAUUUCCUGGUGUUAAAUAUUGCCAUGUUCGCCCGUUUCAAGUUCGCUAUACUGAUUUUAUAUGAUGAUGAUGAUAGAUCACGAGCUAGCGUACCAGUCGUAGACGGUGGGGGAGUUGGGCUGCGGGCGGUCGAAGAGGUUGGCGCCGAGGCUUUUGGUGGCCAGGUUGCUCCCGGGGUGGAAAACGCUCCGCCACACGCUGCCGCCACGCGGCGGCGUCGACGACGACGGCGUCACCGGCGUGGUCGGGGUCGUCGGCAUCGACGGCGACUGCUUAAUCGCCUCCCCUGCAGCUGCACCUCCACCAACAUCCAUGUAAACCGCCAUCAGUUCACACAAUAAACCCAAUAGAUCCUCUGGUUAAGCAUCAAAUCUCCUUCUGAAAACCACUGGUGCUAGUUCUUACGUUCUUCUCAACAUUUUCAGGCCAUGUCGGUACCUCUGUGCUAACGUAUACGAACUGUACCUG